UACGGGGGGGGCAAGCGUUGUUCGGAAUUACUGGGCGUAAAGGGCUCGUAGGCGGCCAACUAAGUCAUGCGUGAAAUCCCUCGGCUUAACCGGGGAACUGCGUCUGAUACUGGAUGGCUUGAGUUCGGGAGAGGGAUGCGGAAUUCCAGGUGUAGCGGUGAAAUGCGUAGAUAUCUGGAGGAACACCGGUGGCGAAGGCGACGUCCUGGACCGGCAUUGACGCUGAGGCGCGAAAGCCAGGGGAGCAAACGGG
rnacentral:rRNA from 1 species